rnacentral:sRNA from 1 species
UGGAGAUCAAACAGAGAUUGGUGAGAAGGGCAUAAACUUGAGUGGUGGUCAGAAACAAAGGAUCAACUUGGCCAGAGCCGUGUACAGUGACUCAGACCUUUAUCUCUUUGACGACCCACUCAGUGCAGUGGACGCUCACGUUGGUAAAGCCAUAUUUAAAAAUGUCAUGAGCCAGAAAGGACUACUAGCUAAAAAAACACGUGUCCUGGUGACCCAUGGUGUCCACUGGCUGCCCC